rnacentral:lncRNA from 1 species
AACAGGUUGAGUGAAGAGUUAAAAUUGUUGCAGGCAGGAAUACCUGCAAAAACAUGAGGCAGUUCUUGAAGACCUUCACAUGUGGAAUCUACCCAGAAAACGGAAAUGGCAGGAGGUCUCGUGUAAUGACUCUGCUCUUCAAACUGCGGUGAGGAUUAAACGACAUAUUUCAGGUCCAUCAUGAGCACACUUCCAGGAGCACAGGAAAAGCAUGCCGCC